ensembl:snRNA LOC120102110 U2 spliceosomal RNA
AUUGCUUCUCAGCCUUUUGGCUAAGAUCAAGUGUAGUAUCAAGUGUGGAUACAAUUUUCUUUUUUUCCUCUACAUAUUUACAGGCUACCGUUCUAGAUCAAUAUUCAUAAAUUGCAUUAUGGACCCUAUGAAAUCAUA